rnacentral:lncRNA from 1 species
CAUGUUCUGGUUUUCCAAAAUCAGGUUUUGACACAUAUUAUAUGUUCAGUAAUUUUUUUUUUUAGAUGGAAUUUUGCUCUUGUUUCCCAGGCUGGAGUGCAAUGGCACAAUCUUGGCUCACCGCAACCUCCAACUCCUGGUUCAAGCAAUUCUCCUGCCUCAGCCUCCCAACUAGCUGGGAUUACAGUCAUUAUGUUGAUUGUUACCUACGGCCAGCAUCUGAGGAAGCCAUCUCAGAAAGAUUCUCUAUAACCAAGAAAUUCAUACAGAGUGCUCACCACUGAAAGCACACAGAGUUGAAGCCAGGUAACAAUAAACUAUAAAUAUUAAUGUCACAUUCUCAAAGACAUGUUGUGUUUAAGCAUUUGUCUUGUGGAAUCUUACCACACUGUUCUGGAAUAUGUGCAAAUUUUACUACUUUUGAAAUUUGCAUAGAGCUUUAUUUUAUUAAUAAUCAUACAAAAAUACAUAU